UGUGUUGUAGUUCAGUUGGUAGAGUGUUUGACUAGCAUGCACAAAGCCCUGGGUGCAAUCCCCAGUAUCAUAG
rnacentral:tRNA from 1 species